ACCCAGGUGGCGAAAUUGGUAGACGCACCAUCUUGAGGGGGUGGCGCUGGCAACAGCGUGGCAGUUCGAAUCUGCUUCUGGGUAC
rnacentral:tRNA from 1 species